rnacentral:rRNA from 1 species
UAAAAAAUGGCGGCCUGCUAUACAUGCAGUCGAGCGCGGGAAGCCGGCGGACUCCUUCGGGAGGAAACCGGUGGAACGAGCGGCGGACGGGUGAGUAACACGUGGGCAACCUGCCGGACUGAUGGGAAUAACCCCGGGAAACCGGGGCUAAUGCCCAAUACGCCCUGACCUCGCCUGAGGUCAGCGGCAAAGCAGGGAUCUUCGGAUCCUUGCACAGUCCGAUGGGCCCGCGGCGCAUUAGCUAGUUGGAGAGGUAAGGGCUCCCCAAGGCGACGAUGCGUAGCCGACCUGAGAGGGUGAUCGGCCACACUGGGACUGAGACACGGCCCAGACUCCUACGGGAGGCAGCAGUAGGGAAUCAUCCGCAAUGGGCGAAAGCCUGACGGUGCAACGCCGCGUGAGUGAUGAAGGUUUUCGGAUCGUAAAGCUCUGUUGACAGGGAAGAACCCACGCCAGUCGAACAGGCUGGCGUGCUGACGGUACCUGUCCAGAAAGCCCCGGCUAACUACGUGCCAGCAGCCGCGGUAAUACGUAGGGGGCAAGCGUUGUCCGGAAUUAUUGGGCGUAAAGGGCACGCAGGCGGUUUCGUCAGUCCGAUGUGACAGGCCACGGCUCAACCGUGGAAGGCCAUUGGAAACUGCGAAACUUGAGGACAGAAGAGGAGAGUGGAAUUCCACGUGUAGCGGUGAAAUGCGUAGAUAUGUGGAGGAACACCAGUGGCGAAGGCGACUCUCUGGUCUGUACCCUGACGCUGAGGUGCGAAAGCAUGGGGAGCAAACAGGAUUAGAUACCCUGGUAGUCCAUGCCGUAAACGCUGAGUGCUAGGUGUUAGGGGUUUCGAUACCCGUAGUGCCGAAGCUAACGCAUUAAGCACUCCGCCUGGGGAGUACGGACCGCAAGGUUGAAACUUCAAGGAAUUGACGGGGGCCCGCACCAAGCGGUGGAGCAUGUGGUUUAAUUCGACGCACCGCGAAGAAACUUACCAGAUCCUGACAUCUUCCGCUACGCCUCAAGAGAGCCGUUCCCCCUUCGGGGGACCGAAUGACAGGGGGUGCAUGCUUGUCGUCAGCUCGUGUCUGUA